rnacentral:rRNA from 1 species
GGCGAACGCUGGCGGCGUGCUUAACACAUGCAAGUCGAACGGUGAAGCGCCUUCCUUUUUGGUGGGUGUGGAUGAGUGGCGAACGGGUGAGUACCACGUGAGUAACCUGCCCCCUUCUUCUGGAUAACCGCAUGAAAGUGUGGCUAAUACGGGAUAUUCUGGGUCUGUCGCAUGAUGGGUCUGGGAAAGAUAUUGUUUCGGUGGGGGAUGGGCUCGCGGCCUAUCAGCUUGUUGGUGGGGUGAUGGCCUACCAAGGCGGUGACGGGUAGCCGGCCUGAGAGGGUGGACGGUCACACUGGGACUGAGACACGGCCCAGACUCCUACGGGAGGCAGCAGUGGGGAAUAUUGCACAAUGGGCGCAAGCCUGAUGCAGCGACGCCGCGUGAGGGAUGGAGGCCUUCGGGUUGUGAACCUCUUUCGCCAGUGAAGCAGGCCUGCCUCGUUUGUGGGUGGGUUGACGGUAGCUGGAUAAGAAGCGCCGGCUAACUACGUG